AAAUGAUGAAAUUAUACCCAAUACACUUCUCGACCAAAUUGAUCCAGAUGGUGCAAUUGAGAGAUUUCCAGAAUUGGUGGCAGAUGGUAAUUUUUGGAGAGAUUCUUUUCUAUUCACCACAUUUUGCUUACUGAUCUUUUUGGAUCAGGUGGAUAAACCCUUUAAUACUAUGAUCAUAAGUGACA
rnacentral:ribozyme from 1 species